GAUGAACGCUAGCGGCAGGCCUAAUACAUGCAAGUCGUACGGGAUCCAGCUUUCGGGCUGGUGAGAGUGGCGCACGGGUGCGUAACACGUAUGCAACCUACCUUUAACUGGGGGAUAGCCUUUCGAAAGAGAGAUUAAUACCGCAUAAAACAGCAGCACUGCAUGGUGUAACUGUUAAAGCUUCGGUGGUUAAAGAUGGGCAUGCGUUGCAUUAGCUAGUUGGUAAGGUAACGGCUUACCAAGGCUACGAUGCAUAGGGGAUCUGAGAGGAUGAUCCCCCA
rnacentral:rRNA from 1 species